CGACUGGCUUCUCGAUUCCAUCAGCGGCGCCCGCUUUUCUCCAUCUCGCCGGCUUGUGACGACGAGAACGAAGAAGAAGAGCUGGUUAAUUGUGUCUGUUUCUACUGUACCGCAACUCUUCUCGAUGCCCUUCUCGAUUCCAUCAGCGGCACCCGCUUCUCUCCUUCUCGACGGCUCGUGACGACGAGAACGAAGAAGAAGAGAGUGUGCAGUUUAGUGGAUGAUGUCUUUGUUUGUGGUUUUGGAUGGGGUUCUCAUGUUCUCCUCCACACACUACUCCCCUUAGCAACAAAGAAGGUGGAGAAGGAUGAAUGCACAGGCACAUAUGUGUGGCCAUAUCUCCGGGCAGGUGCCUAAUCAAGCAAGUCAGCAAUUUUCUGGUCUGCCCCAACAAAUGAGCAGUUCGCUACCUUCUCAGAUACAAAAUUUUGGUGGACAUAGCAUGGAUCCUGAACUCUAUGCAAGACGCCGGGAUGUGCAAGAAUACAUAAGAGGAGUAAUAGCGCGCCUGGAGAGUUUGCGCCAAAAUUGUUAGAAAUCGCAAAAAGGUUGGAGGAGUAUAUAUACAGCGAUGCUGCUUCAAAGGAAGAUUACAUUAACAUGAAUGGGCCUACAAUAGAUCAACACUUGCAAAGUCUAGUAAAGAUGACAACUUACAACAGCCAGCUCAAUUCUCACCAUUUUCUUUCAUCCUUUGCUGUUGGCACAAUGAUUCCAACACCUGGUAUGGCCCAGAAUAGUAGCACAAAUUCCAUGGUUGGUCCGGCAGAAAAUGUCAGGAAUGCCAGCAAUGCUGCUGCUAUGGUGGUGCAAACUACAAGCAACACAGGGAACUUGCUACCAAUUGCAAAUGGAUUAGGUGGUGUUGGAAAUGCCACCAGCUUCAAUAUGUCUGACGGCAAAGCUUAUAUAUCCACAUAUUGCAUGUUGGUGAACUCACCAUGUCUUUAGCAUGCAAUAAGAUGAUUUUCAUAUGCAGGACAAGUUCCUAAUGGAUAUCGAAAGAUGACAUCAAAUGCUUCACUUGGCUCUGGAGUAACCAAUACCAUGUCCUCCGUUGCAUGACAACCACCAAGUCAAUUGAUCCCAACCCCUGGGUUGAAUAAUUUUAAGCCAACUGCUGUAAAUCCAGAUUUUUCUAAUGCAGGUGGGCUCUUGGUCAAUGAAUCUAGUAUGGUUUCGCAGCAACUUCAACAUAAACACUACGGUGGGACUCAAGCAAGCCAUAUCUUUCAUAGUCCUGGAGCCCAGAUGGGUGGCAGGAUGAGACCAAGUAUGCCAAAACCUUCACCCUAUGGAUUUUCAAAUGGUCGUAUGGCUGGCGGUUUAGGAUUUACCAGAGCUAAGCAACUUGUGAAUGGACCUGCGGCAUCAGAGGGAUACUUUAGUACUGUGUCUUAUGGUAGUUCUCCAAAACCUUUACAGGAGCACUUUGAUCAGCAACAUCACCAACCAAUUCUACCAGGAGCUACGGCCGCCGCCUCUUCUUUCUCCUUCCUUCUCUCUCGCUUGCUCACUGCUGCCUCUUCUGCUCGAGAAAGGCAUAACACUGCCUCAUCUUCAAACAAGCAUCGCCUCCAAGACAAGGAAGGGCUCGUGAAAUCACAUUAGCUUCAAGAUUUGAAUAUCGGAUUGGCCCGAUCUUGAAGAGAUUACGCCUGCAAGAGCAAUCAGUCAAUCUCCGAUGUUAAGGGAUUGAACUAGUUUGCAAAACUUUGCAUUGACAAGAUGAGGAACCAUAUUUCGGAUUGGUCUCGCAACUUGACAAGGAUAAGAGAUCAUGAGAGUGCGCCCUUGGGAGCUACAUCGGGGACUUAUGGGCGGCGCAAUUGGAGAAAGUGCUCGGGAGUUGUUAAGAGACGCAACUCUGAUGAGGGCUUUCUGGAAGAUAGUGCCUUCCUUCGAUAUCUUUAACCAAUUUUAGCUUGCUUAAUUUUGACCUAUUAUCUGGUUGUCUAUGUUGCUCCAUAUCUUUGUUAAUCUGGGUUGUUGGAUCCAUUAAUCAAAUAAAAUAAAAUAGAUUAUAUCCUAUGAUGAGAUCCAAUCAAGAAUUUCAUUAUAUCCCUCUUCCUUCUAAAAUCAUUAUUGUAUGGUAUUUUAUAGGAUAUCUGAUACAGAUACAGAAAACUAAUAAAGGAUACCAUCGAAUGACUAAAUAUCGAAAUGGAUCCUAUUUGAAUUCUUUUUUUUAUUUGUUUUGUAAUAAAGUAAGUAGAUCUAUUUAUACAUUCAGAUAGAAAUACAUUAAAUCUUUCUUUAUUAACUGAGUAAUAUUUGAAUAACAAAUCAAAGAUUUAGGGGUUUGUUUUCUAUGGAUUAUUUUGUGAUUUUGAUAAUUGUGUUUGUUUGUUUUCUAAGGAUGAGUAAAACUAGACUAAUGCUGGUGAAAAAGGGUAUUAGAUUUGUGUGAAGUGAUAUAUGACUCAUAGGUCAUGUUCAGAUGUCAAUGAUUAAUUGUAUUGUUUGUUAUGAGAAAUAAUAUGUGUGCUUGAAUUCAUUAGUGGUAUUUUGUGGUCAGGCCAUCCAUACCAUCUUUUUGGUGCUUUGUUUGAGGUCUUCUGUUGAAAGUUUUCAUAGUUUUUUUUAUUGAGUAAACUGCCAUAUAGUUGUUCAUCAAGUAAUGUUUCCUCCUUCAAAGUUCUUUCGUAUAUGAUCAAUCUCAUACAAAUCGCAACAAAUAGAAAGUUGAUAGAGAAUACUGCUCAAUUAGCACGGAUGCCCCAAGUGCAUUAGCAAUUGGAAAAACCAUAUUGAGGCAUGAUGCAGAGCAUCUCGGCAUUAUACAGGAAUAGUCAUUAAUAUGGUGAUUUGACUAUGAACAUGACAAAUAUGGAAAUAUUGGAUAGUUGUAUCACCAUUAUAUUAUCCCAAUAUUGGGAUAACCAUAUUGGGAUAAUCAUAUUGGCAAUAUGGUGACUAUUGGCAUAUGGUCCAUAGCAUAUUGGGAUAACCAUUAUAUUGAGACCAUAUUGUGCCAUAUUAGCAUAAUAUGGAUAAUCAUAUGGGUCAUAGUCACCAAUAUGGUGCCAAUAUACACCUAUAGCGCCAUAUGGAUAAUGUAAUAUGAUGCCAAUAUAUUAUUCGUUAUGACAUAACAUAUUAGCUAUGGAUCAUGCAUUAGUAUUAAUGACUAUGAAUAAUGGAAUAUUGUGCCAAUAUAUUAUUAGUUAUGCAAUGGCAUAUUAGCUGUGGAUCAUAUCCUAAUAUUGGUCACCAUAUUAGGAUAGCAUGUUAGUAUAUGAUAAUAUGGACCAUAUGCAUAUUAUCCUAAUAUACAUGCAUGUUAUGGCACCAUAUGCUAGUAGCAUAUAUGCACCACGGAGUAUGUUAGCCUUUGGUCCAUAUGGACCAUAUUAGCACCAUAUAUAUUGUCAUCAUAUGCCGCCGUAUAUUAGUAUAUUAGCACCUUAUAUAAGUAUAUGAUGAUAAUAUGGUCCUAUAGUGCCUUAUGUACGGACCAUAUACUAGUAGGUGCAAUACCUACUAAUAUGGUCCAAUACGACUAUGCACUGUAUGGUCCAUAAUAUGGUAUAUGCUAUAAUAUAUGGUGUCAUACUGUAUGUUGGGAUGACCAUAUGGUACCAUAUGAUGAUGCUAACAUGGACCAUAUUAUUAGUCAUAGCAAUAUUAUAACAAUAUGGUGCCAAUAUUUAAUGUGGUCCUUAAGAUGGGACCAAUAUUGGAUAUAUGGUCCUAUAUUGAUGACUAUAAUAUGGCGACCAUAUUAGCUAUAAUAUGUACCUAGUAUCUAUUUGUGCCUAGAUAUUUGCAUAAUAUUGGCACCAUUAUAUUAUCACCAUAUUGGCAUAUUAUUUAGGGACCAUUGGUGCCAAUAUGGUCCAUAUUAGCUAUUCAUAACUAUGGCAUAGCACCAUGUUAUGAUAAUAUGUUGCCAAUAUAUAUUACACUAGAAUAUUGGUACCAUAAUAAUUCCAUAUGAGUACCAUAUUGGAUAAUAUAUGGUCAUUUAUUCCAACAUAUGUGGGUAGUAAUGGUGUCUCUUCUAUAAGUAAUGUAUCUCUUAUAUGAUGCCAAUAUAGUGCUUCCUAUUGGGGGCUUUUUGGGGUAUCCCUGGUCAUCUAAAACACAAAUUCAUGGGAAGGAAUUUCACUAAUUGAGAUAGAAUAAAUAACGAAUAGUCCAAUGGUUAUGACAAUUCCAAGAGUAAUAGAUAAUUUUGAAAAUGCAUUAGGAAGACAAUUCUUAGGGAGAACUUGGAGUCAAAAUAAAGACCAAAAAAGAAAAAAAAGAAAAAACAAAGAUGUGUAUCUAUUAAUAAACUUAACAUUAUGUCACAUGUGCAAACUAUAGAAGAAUAUAUCAGUACAUUUCAAAAUUAUUAUUAUCAAUUUUAUUUAGGAAGAGAUUCUAAUAAAUUAGUAUAUUUGAAUAUGUUUUAUAACAAAUACCCAACCAUGGGGAAUAAAAUUACUUAAUGAAUACCCUAUAUAUUGAAGAUAGUUCGAUACAUUAGGAGGUAGAAUACAAUUUCUAUGAAGAAGACUUGAAGAAUGGCAUCGAGAAUCAAGGAUAAUUAAGAAAACAACAAAAUCCAUCAAAGGAAAGAUUAUGUUGCGAAGAAAUAAUAAGACAAAAUAAUAUUGGAUACCCUUAGUAUACAAAAAUAGCCCAAUAAAUAAGAAAUAUAAAAUAAAAAGGCAAUUAAAAAAAUCUAAAAAUGAUAAUAUUAAGAAAACAUACUAUGAAAGAAGAUAUCAACUAAGAAAAAGGAGAUGUUUUCUAUGUCAACGAAAAGGUCAUUAUGCAGAUAAGAUGUUUGCCAA